rnacentral:rRNA from 1 species
UACGGGGGGGGCAAGCGUUGUUCGGAAUUACUGGGCGUAAAGGGUUCGUAGGUGGCCAAUUAAGUCAGACGUGAAAUCCCUCAGCUUAACUGGGGAACUGCGUCUGAGACUGGAUGGCUUGAGUGCAGGAGAGGAACGCGGAAUUCCAGGUGUAGCGGUGAAAUGCGCAGAUAUCAGGAGGAACACCGGUGGCGAAGGCGGGUCUCUGGGCCGUAACUGACGCUGAGGAGCGAAAGCAUGGGGAGCGAACAGG